rnacentral:lncRNA from 1 species
ACUAUACAGAAAAAAACCUAUCUCAAAAUGUCUUUUAUGUCACAUUGCUUGGUAUUCUCAAAUGUACUACUUUCUGUCUCCCUACCCCUCAACAAUUGACUAAAUUUGCAUCUGGAAAAAUUCAAGCUGAUUCAGUUUGAGAAACGUUCUUUCUAACCCCUUAUCCUGUUUUAUAUAAGCAAAACCUUUAUAGGUAGAUAGUGUUAGACUUUUGUAUAUGAAAAUGUCACAUCACAAUGUAUACACAUCAGUCAUUGUGAGGUGUUAGCCAGUGGGUUGAGACAAAUGUUCCAACUCAAAUCCUUUCUGUUGUUUUCAUUAAGACUUAUAAAACAAUAUGAGCAAGAAGAAACCAAGUAAGAUGUGUUUGAGAAUGGAGAUCAUUCAAUUCAUUUUCAUCUUAGGGUUUUUUUUUUUUUGUUUUUCUUUUUAAUUGUACAAGUGCAGUGCUAUACACCACUACAUUCAAAAGUCAUGAAAACAAUCUCAUUGGUUCAAUUUGCUGUACUAUUCUACUCUGUCAGUUCCUGACAGGAAGCAUGUACAAAGCCUUGCCUGUGAAGUAGGUGCUGAGGAAGGACUACUGUACAGAUGAGGAAAUCAAGGGGUGGGAAUAAAAUCACUUGGCUAGUUAGAGGUAAACCAGAGGCUGAUUUUCUUCAUUUACCUCAGUCCUUAGUCCUUUGUUGUUGUUGUUGUUUUUAAAGAUGUGUUUAUUUAUUGUAUGUAUAUUAGUACACUUGAGUUGUCUUCAGACACACCAGAAGAGGGCAUCGGAUCCCAUUACAGAUGGCUGUGAGCCACCAUGUGGCUGCUGGGAAUUGAACUCAGGACUUUGGAAGAGUAAUCAGGGCUCUUAACCACUGAGCCAUCUCAUCACCCCUCAGUCCUUAUUCUUGAUCACACUGUCCAGUCACUGUGCGGAUAGUUAAUCUUAUGACCUAUUC